rnacentral:rRNA from 1 species
AGCCGCGGUAACACCAGCUCCACUAGCGUAUACUAAAGUUGUUGCUGUUAAAACGCUCGUAGUUGGAUAUCGGCGGUGGUAGCAUGACCCUGCAAACGCAGUGCGUCAGAGAUCAGCCGCCCUUUACAGGCCGGCUGAACGCGCGACCAUCGCCCUGGCAGGAACGCGUUCUCACUUCGCGGUGAGGACGACAACCUGCGGCUCACUUUGAGAAAAUUAGAGUGCUCAAAGCAGGCAAUCGCCUGGAUGCAUUAGCAUGGAAUGAACGAACCGACUUUGGCGCUGGAAACAGCGGUUUGUUGGUUUAUGCCAAAGUAAUGAUUGAUAGGAACAACUGGGGUGCUAGUACCGCCGGGCCAGAGGUAAAAUUCUAUGACCCCGGUGAGACUGACUUAGGCGAAAGCAUUCACCAAGUGUGUUUUCUUUAAUCAAGAACUAAAGUUGGGGGAUCGAAGACGAUCAGAUACCGUCGUAGUCCCCAACCAUAAACGAUGUCGACUAAGCGUCGGGUGGGCGAAGG